UUACCUACUGUGUUUGUUAUUUUUGUUUUCUUUUUGCUCGGUUUCCUCUUUUUUCCAUUUUUUCACCGAGUGCCCUUUUUCGUGCUUCUUUUGAAUCUUCGAGUUAUUAUUUCUUUCUUUUUCAUUUCUCUCGAUGAUUUCCUAUUUUUCUUUUUUUUUCUUUUGUUUUUGCACCUUCUUGGGCUUUGGGAGCUUUCGGGGUUUU
rnacentral:lncRNA from 1 species